GGGGGUGAACGGUUUCGACUUUGGACGUUAGUUUCAAGAGAAGCGAGCCGAGGAUCCAGGGUUAUCUCGUAAACGAUCUCUGGAAAACAAUAACUGCCGCCGAAAAGCGCAGUAGCUUCGCUCUCGCCGCCUGACGGCCUGAGCAUUUAAGAAGCGGUCAGCCCGGGGGUGCUUCCGACCCGGUUCCUGGCCUCAGCUAGGAAGCUUGCUUUGCCAACUCGGUCACGGGGUUGGCACGGGACAUUUACAGUGACUGAGUCUGUCAGCGACAUGUCUGUAUGAGCGCUGGGACUGAGAAAACGACUUAACAGACUGCGCUCGGAGAAGUCUUGAGGCAACGCUGAAGGACGCGGGUUCGAUUCCCGCCACCUCCACCC
rnacentral:tmRNA from 1 species